CUAACACAUGCAAGUCGAACGAAGCGAUUAGGAUGAAGUUUUCGGAUGGAUUCCUGGUUGACUGAGUGGCGGACGGGUGAGUAACGCGUGGAUAACCUGCCUCACACUGGGGGAUAACAGUUAGAAAUGGCUGCUAAUACCGCAUAAGCGCACAGUGCCGCAUGGUACGGUGUGAAAAACCCAGGUGGUGUGAGAUGGAUCCGCGUCUGAUUAGCCAGUUGGCGGGGUAACGGCCCACCAAAGCGACGAUCAGUAGCCGACCUGAGAGGGUGACCGGCCACAUUGGGACUGAGACACGGCCCAAACUCCUACGGGAGGCAGCAGUGGGGAAUAUUGCACAAUGGGCGCAAGCCUGAUGCAGCGACGCCGCGUGAGUGAAGAAGUAUCUCGGUAUGUAAAGCUCUAUCAGCAGGGAAGAAAAUGACGGUACCUGACUAAGAAGCCCCGGCUAACUACGUGCCAGCAGCCGCGGUAAUACGUAGGGGGCAAGCGUUAUCCGGAUUUACUGGGUGUAAAGGGAGCGUAGACGGCGACGCAAGUCUGGAGUGAAAGCCCGGGGCCCAACCCCGGGACUGCUUUGGAAACUGUGUUGCUGGAGUGCAGGAGAGGUAAGUGGAAUUCCUAGUGUAGCGGUGAAAUGCGUAGAUAUUAGGAGGAACACCAGUGGCGAAGGCGGCUUACUG
rnacentral:rRNA from 1 species